rnacentral:rRNA from 1 species
UACAGAGGUCCCGAGCGUUGUUCGGAUUCAUUGGGCGUAAAGGGCUCGUAGGCGGCCAACUAAGUCAGACGUGAAAUCCCUCGGCUUAACCGGGGAACUGCGUCUGAUACUGGAUGGCUUGAAUCCGGGGAGAGGGAUGCGGAAUUCCAGGUGUAGCAGUGAAAUGCGUAGAUAUCUGGAGGAACACCGGUGGCGAAGGCGGCAUCCUGGACCGGCAUUGACGCUGAGGAGCGAAAGCCAGGGGAGCAAACGGG